rnacentral:lncRNA from 1 species
UUAAGAAAAUAGUACCAAUGUUGGGCCUUGCGAAAAGAUUUUUACCCCAAAACAAAAAUCAAUCGGGUAUCCAUAACAACUCCAAGCAUUUUAGGAGCGCUCAAUAAUGAACAUAACAUUGGUAGAAAAGUAACAAGGAAGGCAACGGUGGACCAAACCACCGAGCACAAGGCCAAGCAUUUAGUGACAUGUCAAACACAACAAUCAACUUCUACACAUUAAGUGAAGCUCCAUAUGCAAUGAGUUGCAUAUUUAUUAAACUCCAUGUUUGAAUUAAUUAGUUCACUCCCAUUUAGGUACACCAAAAUAUUUAAUGUUAUUAAACAUGGCAAGAGGUGAAGCAUAAAUAAAGUAUCUAUCUAGGCAUUUUAAAUGAGGUCGGGAACAACUUAUACUAUUUCCGAAAUGAUCCCAUAUGUUAAUUUAGCAAUUGGUCCUCAUCUGAACUAACCAUGUUUUAUAUUUAUUAAACAAGAAAAUAAAAUGUACCAUGUGAUUCUACUCGUUAUUCUAGUCAAUUUACAU